rnacentral:rRNA from 1 species
GACGAACGCUGGCGGCGUGCUUAACACAUGCAAGUCGAGCGGGUAAGGCCCUUUCGGGGGUACACGAGCGGCGAACGGGUGAGUAACACGUGGGUGACCUGCCUUUAGCUCUGGGAUAAGCCUGGGAAACUGGGUCUAAUACCGGAUAUGACUCCAUGACGCAUGUUGUGGGGUGGAAAGCCUUGUGCGGCUAGGGAUGGGCCCGCGGCCUAUCAGCUUGUUGGUGGGGUGAUGGCCUACCAAGGCGACGACGGGUAGCCGGCCUGAGAGGGCGACCGGCCACACUGGGACUGAGAUACGGCCCAGACUCCUACGGGAGGCAGCAGUGGGGAAUCUUGCGCAAUGGCGAAAGCCUGACGCAGCGACGCCGCGUGA